GAUGAACGCUGGCGGCGUGCUUAACACAUGCAAGUCGAGCGAAGCGGUUUAAAUGAGACUUCGGUGGAUUUUAAACUGACUGAGCGGCGGACGGGUGAGUAACGCGUGGAUAACCUGCCUCACACAGGGGGAUAACAGUUAGAAAUGACUGCUAAUACCGCAUAGCGCACGGCAUCGCAUGAUGCAGUGUGAAAAACUCCGGUGGUGUGAGAUGGAUCCGCGUCUGCUUAGGUAGUUGGUGAGGUAACGGCCCACCAAGCCGACGAGCAGUAGCCGACCUGAGAGGGUGACCGGCCACAUUGGGACUGGGACACGGCCCAAACUCCUACGGGAGGCAGCAGUGGGGAAUAUUGCACAAUGGGCGAAAGCCUGAUGCAGCGACGCCGCCUGAGUGAAGAAGUAUUUCGGUAUGUAAAGCUCUAUCAGCAGGGAAGAAAAUGACGGUACCUGACUAAGAAGCCCCGGCUAACUACGUGCCAGCAGCCGCGGUAACAC
rnacentral:rRNA from 1 species